rnacentral:lncRNA from 1 species
GUUGGCUUGUGAUGAUCGGAUUGCCCAUCUAAUUUUCAACCAGCUAUUAAUUUGAAGAAUAGAUAUAUUCUUCCACAAGUUAAUACUCUUGCCUUACCUUUUUUCUUCUUUAUCUGCAGUUCUUAAUUAUGAAUAAUUAAUUAGUGAUUCAUUCAUCCUGCAGCCCCUGAUUUUUUUUCACACAUUCUUAGAAAACAGCUCUAGCCUUCUUUCCACUAACUUUAUACACAACAAACAACAUUGUUUCCUUGCUAAUCGUUAUUUUGGGUAAAAGGUAGCCAUUUUAACAAAAGCUUACUUGGCCGUUAUGGAGAAGUCCCUGAUCGCCUCUUUUCCCGCGCUCUCUGCAGGUGUCAGUGUUCCUGCUGUCCCACAGAUGUUUUGGAUAUUACAUUCACGGCAGGUCAGUCCACGGCCAUGCGGACACCAACAUGGAGGACAUGAACAUGAACCUGAGGCGAGAGGCGGAAAAUUUGUGCAGUCAAAGAGGUUUGGUGCCCAACACAGAUGGGCAGACGUUUCAGAUUGCCGUUUCCAGUCAGAUGAGACAGCACUAUGACAGAAUUCACGAGACAUUAACAAGGAGAAAUGGCCCUGCCAGACUGCUGAGCUCAUCAGGGAGUACCUUGGAACAAAGUAUAAAGGCAUACCACGCAAUGAAUAAGUUCCUCGGCUCUUUCAUUGACCACGUUCAUAAGGAAAUGGAUUACUUCAUAAAAGACAAGUUGCUUCUCGAAAAGAUCCUCGGGAUGGAGUUCAUGGAGCCCCUGGAGAAGAGCAUCUUCUACAAUG